ACUUUGAAAGUUUUGACCGGAGAUGUACAACUUGUAGUGUAUUUGAAUGUAAACUGCGAUUGCUGAUCAUAGAUGAAAUAUUAACAUGUACAGGGUAAAGUAGUGACAGCUCGGCGGUCAUCAGUCAGAGAGCCCGCUGUGGAGCUCCUGUCAGGUUUGUAAUAUGGCCUCAUGGAUUAUUCAUGUGACUAUGAUGGUGCUCUCUGUGUUCAUCAGUAGCAGCCAGGGGAAGAGGGACCAGCAGCUCUACUGCUCCGCAUGCAAGGCCAUUGCUGACGAACUGAACUACUCGAUCAGCCAGAUUGACCCAAAGAAAACCAUCAACGUUGGCGGCUUUAGACUCAACCCUGACGGAACCAUGAAAGACAAAAAGGUACCCCUCGCCCGCUCAGAGACUCACCUCAGUGAGCUCCUGGAGGAGGUGUGCAACAGCAUGAACGACUACGCCCUCCAUGUUGACCCCGACACCCAGCACAAGCAGUACAGGAGGUUUGCUCCCAGGAGCGGCGGGGCCCCUGGGGAUUUCCCCGACUUUAACCACUUCCAGUUUGGCGGCCCAGACGCAUCCAACGCUCUGAAGUUCGCAAUUGGAUUGCUGCGAGGAAACAUUUGCAGCACUGUCCAAUCAAAAGCGAGUGUGUAGAGGAUUGCACAAAAAAAUGUGAGACGCUGGUGGAUGAUCUGGAGGAUGAGAUCAUCUUGUUGUUCAGACGGGACACGGAGCAUGUGAGCGAGGAGUUGUGCAGCAGAGUCUCAGACUACUGUAAAGACAGCAGUCACACUAACGAGGAAUUGUAGAGUUUCAAAGGAUGGAGGCGGGACCAGCUUUGUUGCAGAGAUCACAACAAAUCAAAUAAUAUUUCAAAUAAUCUGUUUUUGACAAAUUACUGACCUUUUGUAAUAAAUAAAAAAAUCUAAUGUUGAAAUCCA